rnacentral:lncRNA from 1 species
ACAAACAAACAAACCCCCAAAACCUCAAGUUGUGAGAAAUCUGAAGAUCUCUGUUGGAUAUAAAAUUUCAGGAAUGUGUAUUUCAAGGUAUACGUGUGUGCAACUUUCCUUAUUUGUUUAUGCCCUUUUUUUCCAGACUUGAUAUGAGCCCAGGCAGAGGUUGGCAAAGCACUUUUGUAAAAGGCUAGAUGGUGACUAUGCAGGCCUUGUCAGCUCCAUGGUCCAACCACUCAAGUUUGAUAUCGUGAUUCUACACCAGCCGUAGAUGACACAAAGGGAGUGGCGGCAAAGAGCCUCAUACCAGUGACUUUACUCAUUGCUGUAACAAAAUAUUUGAAAAGAAGCAACUUAAGGAACGACAGGAGCAGCUUGAUCAAAGGAUCAAAACACAUCAGCAGACUGUGUCUCCAUCAAAACCACCCGUUUAGUAACAUUGACUUCCUUGCUGGCUCUGUUCCCAGACAAUGGCUACCAUAUCUGCAGCUGUUUCAACAUCUCUGUUUAGAUGAGGAAAGACGCCUGCGUGUGCAGACUGGCACCCUCAGCACUGAAAGCUACAAAAUCAAAAUAUCAAUCAAGUCUGAAAGACGUUGGUCCUGUCAUACCAAGUAUUCAGCCAAGAUUUAGUGCUCACGGAAAAGCUUUCUGCCUCUUACUUACCUGGGAGCAGUUACUUAAAAUCCCGGUGCCUCUAUGUUAUCUGUUUAAAGCAGCCACCGCCACUGCUGCUGCUGUUGUAGUCGUCGUCGUCAUCGUUGUCGUGGUCAUUGUGGUUGUUUUCGUAGUCAUCAUCAUCAUCAACAACACCAGCAUCAUUAUCAUCACGUGUAAAAUUUGGACAGAGGAACCCUGGGUCACAAAGGCAGGAGGCAGGAGGCAGGAGGCAGGAGCAAUACAAGUCUCAAACCACUACAGGAGCAGGACUCAAAAGUGGACCAUGCACAUGAUACAACAUUCUAAGACACAGACUUUUAUUUUCACCAAUCAAGAGAGAAAGGCCAAGGGCUGGUGAGAUGCCUCCAUGGGUAGAAGACCCUGCCACCAAGCUGGAAGCCCUGAGCUUGAUUCCCAGAACCCAUUUGGGAGAAGGAGAGAACCCACUCUUCAAGGUUGCCCUCUGAUCUACAUAUUUAACCUGUGGUGCCCUUGUGCACACAAAACAAAACAAAUAAUAGAAUUUUU